rnacentral:rRNA from 1 species
GAUGAACGCUGGCGGCGUGCCUAAUACAUGCAAGUCGAGCGAACGGACGAGAAGCUUGCUUCUCUGAUGUUAGCGGCGGACGGGUGAGUAACACGUGGAUAACCUACCUAUAAGACUGGGAUAACUUCGGGAAACCGGAGCUAAUACCGGAUAAUAUUUUGAACCGCAUGGUUCAAAAGUGAAAGACGGUCUUGCUGUCACUUAUAGAUGGAUCCGCGCUGCAUUAGCUAGUUGGUAGGGUAACGGCUUACCAAGGCAACGAUGCAUAGCCGACCUGAGAGGGUGAUCGGCCACACGGGAACGGAGACACGGUCCAGACUCCUACGGGAGGCAGAAGUGGGGAAUCUUCCGAAAGGGGCGAAAGCCUGAGGGAGAAACGCCGCGUGAGUGAUGAAGGUCUUCGGAUCGUAAAACUCUGUUAUUAGGGAAGAACAUAUGUGUAAGUAACUGUGCACAUCUUGACGGUACCAAAUCAGAAAGCCACGGCUAACUACGU